GAUGAAGAACGUAGUGAAAUGCGAUACGUAAUGUGAAUUGCAGAAUUCAGUGAAUCAUCGAGUCUUUGAACGCACAUUGCCCCCCCUGGUAUUCCGGGGGGCAUGCCUGUCCGAGCGUCAUUGCUGCCCUCAAGCACGGCUUGUGUGUUGGGCCUCCGUCCUCCUCCCGGGGGACGGGCCCGAAAGGCAGCGGCGGCACCGCGUCCGGUCCUCGAGCGUAUGGGGCUUCGUCACCCGCUCUUGUAGGCCCGGCCGGCGCUUGCCGACACAUCAAUCUUUUUUCCAGGUUGACCUCGGAUCAGGUAGGGAUACCCGCUGAACUUAAGCAUAUCAAUAAGCGGAGGA
rnacentral:misc_RNA from 1 species